rnacentral:rRNA from 1 species
GUGAACCUUUACUAUAGCUUGACACUGAACAUUGAGCCUUGAUGUGUAGGAUAGGUGGGAGGCUUUGAAGUGUGGACGCCAGUCUGCAUGGAGCCGACCUUGAAAUACCACCCUUUAAUGUUUGAUGUUCUAACGUGGACCCGUGAUCCGGGUUGCGGACAGUGUCUGGUGGGUAGUUUGACUGGGGCGGUCUCCUCCUAAAGAGUAACGGAGGAGCACGAAGGUUGGCUAAUCCUGGUCGGACAUCAGGAGGUUAGUGCAAUGGCAUAAGCCAGCUUGACUGCGAGCGUGACGGCGCGAGCAGGUGCGAAAGCAGGUCAUAGUGAUCCGGUGGUUCUGAAUGGAAGGGCCAUCGCUCAACGGAUAAAAGGUACUCCGGGGAUAACAGGCUGAUACCGCCCAAGAGUUCAUAUCGACGGCGGUGUUUGGCACCUCGAUGUCGGCUCAUCACAUCCUGGGGCUGAAGUAGGUCCCAAGGGUAUGGCUGUUCGCCAUUUAAAGUGGUACGCGAGCUGGGUUUAGAACGUCGUGAGACAGUUCGGUCCCUAUCUGCCGUGGGCGCUGGAGAACUGAGGGGGGCUGCUCCUAGUACGAGAGGACCGGAGUGGACGCAUCACUGGUGUUCGGGUUGUCAUGCCAAUGGCACUGCCCGGUAGCUAAAUGCGGAAGAGAUAAGUGCUGAAAGCAUCUAAGCACGAAACUUGCCCCGA